rnacentral:rRNA from 1 species
UCAGAACGAACGCUGGCGGCAGGCCUAACACAUGCAAGUCGAGCGCACCCUUCGGGGCGAGCGGCGGACGGGUUAGUAACGCGUGGGAACGUACCCUUGUCUACGGAAUAGCCAUUGGAAACGAUGAGUAAUACCGUAUACGCCCUUCGGGGGAAAGAUUUAUCGGACAAGGAUCGGCCCGCGUUAGAUUAGAUAGUUGGUGGGGUAAUGGCCUACCAAGUCUACGAUCUAUAGCUGGUUUUAGAGGAUGAUCAGCAACACUGGGACUGAGACACGGCCCAGACUCCUACGGGAGGCAGCAGUGGGGAAUCUUAGACAAUGGGCGCAAGCCUGAUCUAGCCAUGCCGCGUGUGUGAUGAAGGCCUUAGGGUCGUAAAGCACUUUCGCCAGGGAUGAUAAUGACAGUACCUGGUAAAGAAACCCCGGCUAACUCCGUGCCAGCAGCCGCGGUAAUACGGAGGGGGUUAGCGUUGUUCGGAAUUACUGGGCGUAAAGCGUACGUAGGCGGAUCAGAAAGUAUGGGGUGAAAUCCCGAGGCUCAACCUCGGAACUGCCUCAUAAACUCCUGGUCUUGAGUUCGAGAGAGGUGAGUGGAAUUCCAAGUGUAGAGGUGAAAUUCGUAGAUAUUUGGAGGAACACCAGUGGCGAAGGCGGCUCACUGGCUCGAUACUGACGCUGAGGUACGAAAGUGUGGGGAGCAAACAGGAUUAGAUACCCUGGUAGUCCACACCGUAAACGAUGAAUGCCAGUCGUCGGGUAGCAUGCUAUUCGGUGACACACCUAACGGAUUAAGC